rnacentral:rRNA from 1 species
GACGAACGCUGGCGGCGUGCCUAAUACAUGCAAGUCGAACGCUGAAGGAGGAGCUUGCUUCUCUGGAUGAGUUGCGAACGGGUGAGUAACGCGUAGGUAACCUGCCUGGUAGCGGGGGAUAACUAUUGGAAACGAUAGCUAAUACCGCAUAAUAGUAGAUGUUGCAUGACAUUUGCUUAAAAGGUGCAAUUGCAUCACUACCAGAUGGACCUGCGUUGUAUUAGCUAGUUGGUGGGGUAACGGCUCACCAAGGCGACGAGACAUAGCCGACCUGAGAGGGUGAUCGGCCAAACUGGGACUGAGACACGGCCCAGAACCCUACGGGAGGCAGCAGGAGGGAAUCUUCGGAAAUGGACGGAAGUCUGACCGAGCAACGCCGCGUGAGUGAAGAAGGGUUUCGGGUCGUAAAGCUCUGUUGUAAGGGAAGAACGAGUGUGAGAGUGGAAAGUUCACACUGUGACGGUAUCUUACCAGAAAGAGACGGCUAACUACGUG